CAAGCAUUGGAAUGGUUUGCCCAGGGUGGUGGUGUAGUCACACUCCCUGGGUUUUAAGGAAUGGUUUUAAAAAAUCCCUGUUUUUUAAGGAACUCCCUGGUGUUUAAGGAAUUGUUUGAUGUGAUACGUAGGGACAUGGUUUAGUGGGUAAUAUUGGUGGUGGGCGUGGUUGGACCAAAUGAUCUUGAAGACCUUUUCAACAUUUAUGAUUCAUGACCAUGAUAGUUUUCACAGUGAUUGAUUGAAAAGGGAGGAUUGAUUGCAACUUGAGUCUGAAUUGGUAAUGAGACACUCAUAAGAAGUAGACACACAGAUCAUAGAAUCAUAGAAUCAUAGAAUCAUAGAAUAUCCUGAGUUGGAAGGGACCCUUAAGGAUCAUGCUAACUCAGGUUGGAGAUGAGAACUUGGGAAAACAGGGAUUUGUGAACUGUUCAGUGCCAAACAUUGUUUUCAAAUACAGUUGGCUUGGAAAUGAAUACUUGAAGCUGCAAGGUUGUCAGCAAACUACUAUGUUUCCAGUUUUCUGA
rnacentral:lncRNA from 1 species